UGCUUUUGAAGGCGCAAACAUUGGA
rnacentral:piRNA from 1 species